UCCCAUAAUAAAGCACCUGCCUUGCAGACAUAGGUCUUGAGUUCAAACGCCAGUACCAGCCAAAAUGUGACAAAGAAAAUAAAUACCUUAAAGAAAACUGUAUUAAAACCUAGCAUCCAGGAAAGACAUUUCAGCUAGAAAACUCUGCCGUGCAUAUUGUGUUGUUUGAACAAUAACUGCUUAAGGAAAAUAUUAUUCGUCCUCUUUGGUGUGGCACGUUCAGAAUAUUCUAAAUGCCAUGGUCUUCUAAAAACAAAUUGCAAAUUGGUUCAAAUAAGAUGCUGUAGAAGCUGAGUUUUCUCCGUGUACUGGGCACA